rnacentral:rRNA from 1 species
UACGGAGGGUGCGAGCGUUGUCCGGAAUCACUGGGCGUAAAGGGCGCGUAGGCGGCCUGAUAAGUAGGGGGUGAAAUCCUGCGGCUUAACCGCAGGGCUGCCUUCUAAACUGUCAGGCUCGAGCACAGUAGAGGCAGGUGGAAUUCCCGGUGUAGCGGUGGAAUGCGUAGAGAUCGGGAAGAACAUCAGUGGCGAAGGCGGCCUGCUGGCUGUUGCUGGACGCUGAGGCGCGACAGCGUGGGGAGCAAACAGG